ensembl:lncRNA
GUCCCAUAAUCCAGGUGUGAGCUCAACAUACUUCUGCAGACAGAAGCUGUCAUUUCCAUAUUUGAUGAUGAGGAGGGAAGCCCUAUGGAAUGGUGGCAGUGCAUCAAAGACACCCAAUAAAUGUGAAUUGAUUGAAAGGAUCCUGGCGCACAGGAGAGGUUAUAUGAGGGCUAUGGUCAUCCAAGGCUCAGCUGGAUCUUGCUGGGCUCUGCUAAGUUGUGUAUAGCUUCUCAGGCCAGAUCAAAGAGAUACAGGAAAGGUGGAACCAUUCUCUGGGAUGUGCUUAUUGUAGAAAGCAGACCACAUGGCCAGGACAUUUAGCACAACUUUUGAAGAUUCUGCUUGGAUGAAGCACAUAAUUGACUCACUCACUAUAUUUGCCAGGAUAAGUCACAUGGACAAGAUUCACAAUGGAAUGAGGAAUCACAGUACAACUGCAGGUUUCAUGCAGUUGUGAAGAAAUGACUCAGGGACCAUGUUGGUAAUGAAAGACAGAAGGUAAAGGCCCUCUUCCAGUACUGCUCAGUGGCAUCAGAAAUGCCUCCAGAUAUCGCCAAACAUCCUGUGGGAGUAAAAUUUCCCCUGUUGAGCACCACUGGUUUAAUAAGAAGCAACAAUAGAGGAUGGAAGAGGGGGAGAAAGAGAAGUGAUCAGUGUACCUAAAGGCACCCCAGCCCGGGGCAGGUCUAGAGCUUCUGUUUCCAUGUCUGUAAAACGGUGUCAAGAGCUGAGACUAUGGCUGAGAAGAGACCAGCAGGACAGUGUCUAUCACUGUUCUCUUCCUCCCAACCUCCCGCAGCUGCUGGACUCCCUCAAGUGCUCUGAGAAGCUAUAAGAGAUUGGUUGAAUAUGCACUUCCAAGGGUCUAUAUCACCUCUCCUUGAACCUGGGCAAUCUUAUGACUUCUUCAACCAAUAUAAUAUAGUGCAUGAGCUCAUGAAAGACCAUACAGCUUCAUCUUGUCAUCUGGAACAUGCCUUCUUGGAGCACUGAGUCAUCAUGUAAGAUGACCUACUACCCUGAGGUUGCCAUAAGGAAGCCCAUGUUACAUGGAAAAGCCACAUAAAGACAUUCUGGUUGACAGCUCCAGCUAAAACCAAAUCUGAGCCAUCCUAGCCUGGCACACGAUAAAUAAGUGAAAUUGCAUCCAGAUGACGCCAGUCUCCAGCCAGUCAAGUUACUUCAACUAUUGCAGUCUUCUCAUCUCUGACCUCAGACAUCAAGGAGACAAGUCAUCCAACUUGUGCACGUCUGAAUGUCCAACCCAUAAAGUUGUAAGCAUAAUAAAGUGAUAACUGUUUUAUGUUACUAAACUUUGGGAUUUGUUUUUCAGCCAAAGAUCUCCAACUAAACUUAAAUCAGAAAGGUCCUUGAAGAAUUUCAUUCUUUGCUACAUAAUUUUUUUAAGAAUUUAUCUUUGGAUAAACCAUUUUGCAAAAGUCAAGAGAAACAUAACAAAUUACCUUCUGAAAUCAGAAGAUGCACUCUAAUGCUGUCAGUCAUGUUUAAUAGUGAAUGUGUUGACUAUCCUUUCUUUCUGUUUUUUGCUUUAUGUGAGCAUAUUUUGCACUUUAAAAAAUUUAGAGCCUGUUUUAAAUAUAUUUACUUUUCUUAUGUAUAAGAGACAUUAUUAUUUUAAUAAUAUUAUUUCACAGAUAGUAGAAUGAAAAUGUAUCAGAAUGGUAAUGGAUCACAAAAUAAGUUUCAAAGAGAAUUCAGUCAGGGUUAGAGACGGCAAGUUGGAGCUGGGACAUAUUCUCAAGAAUAUAUCUUUAUUGGCAUUGUUUGGUCUCUCAUGUGCAAUUUUUAAUUUACAAAGUACUCCUUACCUGAAACUUUUUCCCCUUCAUCUUUCCUUAUGUCCAACUUAUCAUUUCUUGAAUACUCAGAAGUACAAUAUUCUUUACAUUCAGAAUGCUUCUCUGAAAUUAUGCAUACCUUUUUUAGCACAUUAAAAAAACUUUAAUAUCUGUGUCAAAAAUGAUAGGAAAAAACCCCACUAGAUGUCAUUUAUGUCCUUUGCAGUGGCUUAUGGCAAUUAAUGAUGUAGCUAGAGAAUUUCACAUAAGUUUAUGUUCAAUAAACUUGAGUUAGACAUUGUCAUUUAGAAAUAAAUGCUUUAGAUAUGCCUAGGGUAGAUAUGCUCAUUCAAAAAUAAAAAAAUUCAACUUGGAUUAUUCAGCUAUUUUUGAAAUGAGAGAAAUUCAGUUAAAGGAAUUCCCAAAUAACCUUUAUGCUUCCAGAGUGAUAAAAGAUGAUUAACUCUUAAGAGUCCUCCUGACUGAAAGUAAGCAAACCAUUUAUAAAAACUUAGGCUUCGUAGUAAGUUACAGUUUGAAUAUUAGUAAUAAUACCUGCAGGAAUUCUUACACAUGGCAGGUCACUCUUAAUAUGUAGCUUAGGCCAUCAUCAUUAACAUCCUUUCUAAGGAUAUACAUUCUAAGAAUGCCUAUUUUAGAAGAAAUAAAGUUAUAUCCUUAUCAAGGAAUUCUUGGCCCCUCAGAGAAUGUAAACACAUAACAUUAUUUAAGCCUCACCAUACCCAGGAAUGGGUAUACUACAUCAAGUUUAAAGGUAUGGAAAACCAAGAAUAAUAAUAGUUGAGUCCUAUAUACAUAAGCAAUAGUUUAAGUGCUUUAUAUCUAUUAGCUUAUUUAAUUCUUAGAACAACCAUAUGAGGUAGUGUUAUUUUCUUCAAUUUAUAGAUGAGUCAAAUGAGUCCAAAAGAGUUCAAGUAUAUUUUACAAAGUCAUCUAGUCAAGUAGUAAAUAUGGAAUUUAAAGCAAAUCAGACUUGUUUCUCAAUCUGUAUUCUUAAUAUUAUGCUCUAAAAUUACUAAGGUCUGUACUUAAUUAGAUCAGUUAAAUCUUUCCUAAGAAAGAUGAGUUUGCACUCAAUUGUUCAUCUGUCUUAAAAUUAGGUAGAUUACAUAGAUAACUUUCUGAAACCCAUACAAUCUUCUCAUCAUUUUUUACAGUGAAUAGCUUUGAAGAAGAAUUUUCCCUUGUCAUUCAACUAGUUAAACAUUACUGGGGAAAAAAAUUGAACCCAGGCUCACUGACUUCACAUCUUGAAUCUCUAUCACACAGUACCACUGUAUUAAGAAUCAAGUGUUAAGUGACCUGUCCCUGACUUAAGAGCCAUGAAGUAGUAGCUGAUAGAACUUAAUUCUGAGUCCUUUGGAUUUAAAUGCUCUUUUAAAUUUAUUUUUAAAACUACCCCACAAAAAUCUUCUUUCCCCAUUUUCCAAUCUACUUCCUUCCAUGCAUAUUUUGGUAUGUCUUCCUAAAUCAUAUGUGGCUUUAGUCUGGGAUAAACUCCUUACUGGUUCCAAAUUUUAUACCUAAAAUCCCCAUUCCCCAUGAAGUGCUGAACACAAGAUGUUCUGGGAAAUAUAUAUUUCCUCAAAGAUUUAUUCCAUAGAGAUUAGAUUAUAUGUGCAGCUCUUCUGUUAACAGCCUCACUGACUUUCAAAUACAAAAUAAGUUAAAACUGUUGAUUUUGCCUUCAGAAAGUCUCUGGAGUCUAUUCUAGUCAUUUUCACCACCACUCAUCAAAGUUUCUGAGAUGUAAACAUGAUAUUUUUAAUAUCCUAUCUAAAAUUUUGUACUGGCUUCCCAUUGCUCUUAAAAUAACCUGACCAGGAGGCUUUCAUAUAGCGCAAGCCCAAGGUAUCAACAAAACCUUUUUCAUUAUUUGUAAGGAUCCCUAAUGCCUUCUUUUUCUUUCUGCUUGAGAUAUACCAGUUGUCCUUCAGUCCUCUAUACUAUCUUUACUCUUUCCAGCCGCUUAAUCCUCUUGUUAAUUUUGCUAGGCAACUCCUACUCAGAUUUCAUUCCCAGUUUCUCUUCCAGUGGAAACCUAUACUGGUCAAUUUAAAGGUCUCUAGUUCCAGCUUACAUCAUGAUAGCUGUAUCACCUUCUUCACGAACAGAGUGUAAGCUCCAUGAGGGCAACAACAGUGUCCCUUUUGCACAUUGAUAGACACCUAGACCCUGGCUGAGUGUAUACCUCUGUAUAAUCAGGUCACUCAAGAUGGUCCUUCUUUUGCUCUCUGUACAUCCCCUGUUGGACCAGUCGCUGCCUUACCUACUCUCUACUCACCUGACUGACCUUCCCUCUUAACCAUUGAGCCUAAUUAGUAAAUACCUACUUACUUGUGUUCCCCACUCCCCACAGCCCCAGUGAUUUUUCUUAUCUUUAGAUCAGAAUGCUACACUUGAUAGUAUAUCAAAGGAAAGACAAAGACGUCUGCCCCAUGAAGGUCACUGGCCCGAGGGGUUAUGAGGGAUUUGCCCUCCAACUGGUUUCCCUGUAGCCUCUGAGCCAACCUGACCCUAAAACUGAUAACCCCUCCCACCGUCCCUCCCAGCAAAGAUUGCUGCAUGUUCUGCUUGCCAUCCGCUGCACACUAUGGGGUGUGUAGUUCUAGGAAUUUGCUUAAGACAUGUAAGGUUCCCCUCCGUAUUAAUUAUAAAUUGAUGUCUCUGUCACUGACUCCAGGCUUUUUCUUAAAUCUUGAGGAUGGGCUUGCAGGCCUGUGGGGUGCAGCCCAGAAACCUCAGAGUAUGAACUCUGAUUUUUGACAAAGAUCAAUAUUCCUUGUUGGUACACUGAUUCCAACCACCUGGAAGUGACAUUCAUCAUCUAUCUGUGGCUUCAGAAUGCUUGAUAGGUCCUAAUUCUACACAGUGCAAGCUUUUUAUUUUUGUCACUUAACAAGUUAUUUCUGAAAUCUUUGGAGUUGCAGAAAAGGCAGUGUAGAUAAUUGUUCCCAGAAGUAGCUUCUUUUAGAGUCCCUGACUAAAACCCUCAGAGCUGUUUAUGAUACUAGACAGUAGUGUAAUGCUACAAUGCCCAACAUCUAAUGUACUCAGAGCAUGGAAAACCUACAGUUUAUUCCAAGAGUCAUUACACCAAGCCUAGGCCUAUCAUGUUCAGGCAAUAAUUUACUUUGAGGAAAGUAGAAGAUGAAGAUGUCUAUCCCAACUAUUAAAGCUAUUCUACAUCCCCCUUCUCUAAUCACAUGCUAGAAAAGUGGCUACCAAUAACAGCAACAAAUAAAAAUUCAACAGUUUUAAGAUGCUGGAAAAAUAUUAAUUCAGAUUUUGGAAGGUAAACAAAGCCCUUUUCCCCAUCUGUGCAGGUCAUAAUUUUAGCAAAAUAAUAUAUCCAAUUUGCACUUAAAAACAGAACACUAUAUGGCUUCUAAAUGUGGGACUUUCAGGACUUCCAAAGAAUAGGUAUUUGCCACAUGUUUGCAUAAUAAGAAGCGGUAAGAGAAUUCAUUCUCCCAUACCCACUCUUACAAAGGCAUUAAUUCUCAAGGUUAUGUAUUUACAUGUCCCUAAGAAUAAAAGCCUUAUUAAAUUUUUCACUCUAGCUGCUCCACUUGCCUUGCCUUAAUCCUGAUCCUGCCUAAAUAGCAUCAUCCAAUGCUAACUUGAGCAGCUUAUACACGUUAUCUAAUGGAAUGAAUACAAAUAGAAAUAUUUCAGUUUGACAUCUUUGAAAUUAUUUUUGAGUAUAGGAUCUUACUGUGUUUUACGAUGAUUGAUAAUAUGAAUAAGCUUUUUAAAAAGCAUAUUAAAAAGCAAUAGAGGGAGUUCCCGUCGUGGCGCAGUGGUUAACCAAUCCGACUAGGAACCAUGAGGUUGCGGGUUCGGUCCCUGCCCUUGCUCAGUGGGUUAACCAUCCGGCGUUGCCGUUGCCGUGAGCUGUGGUGUAAUUUGCAGACGCGGCUCGGAUCCCGCGUUGCUGUGGCUCUGGCGUAGGCCGGUGGCUACAGCUCCGAUUCAACCCCUAGGCUGGGAACCUCCAUAUGCCGCGGAAGCGGCCCAAGAAAUAGCAACAACAGCAACAACAACAACAACAACAACAACAAAAAAAAAAAAAGCAAUAGAGUGAUUUCUGCUUCCAAACCAAGAUAGUGUAAUAAGGAUCCUAUUUACCCUCCUACCUGAAACAAUUAAAAACUAGAAAAAAAUAUGAAGCAAGAGUUUUCAAGACUUAGAACAUCAGACAACAAAGGUAAUGAUCCCUGAAAAAUGGGAAACAAAUGAGUUAUGGAUUAUGACUGUCUUUAUAAUUACUUGGAGAGUAUUUGUUACAGAAGAAUAAAGCCAAGCAGAACAAGGAAGAAUCAUUAUAUGGAGGAGAAAAGGCUUAGAGUACACAGAUACCAUGACACUAGAGUUCACAAGACAUUCAGGGAGAAAGUGCUUGUUCCCACUAGCUAAAGAGGAAAACAUAUCCAUGGAAUAUUGGGUAGAUUACUGAAGGGUAUCUUAUCUUGGUAGUAAUACAGUGACCAACCAUCUAGAUUGUGAAGAGAGGAUUCUGUCAGGUUCUGACAGUGAAGAUAUAAGAAAUAACCUCUGGUGGCCCUAGCUUGGUGGGUGGGGUCAGGGGGGUGGUAAGCAUUCCCAAGCACAGUCACUGAUUUCUCCAAAACAAAGACCUAUUUUCAAGGGGAAAAGAUUUCCACUGAAGACAAAUUUGAAACUUUAUAUAGGCUGUAGGAAGGGAAUUCCUCCUCACUCCAGCUCCUACAGUCUUCCAGUCUUUCCUAAGAAAAAUAUAAUAAACAGGAAAUUAGGCUCAAAGAACAUAGAAUAGGAACACUAUAGAAGGAGAAAAGAGUAGGAUCAAGAUAAAAAAAAAAAA